rnacentral:rRNA from 1 species
UCCUGGCUCAGGAUGAACGCUAGCGGCAGGCCUAAUACAUGCAAGUCGAACGCUCAGUAGCAAUACUGGGAGUGGCGCACGGGUGCGUAACGCGUACACAAUCUACCUCUAAGCGGGGGACACCUCCUGGAAACGGGGAUUAAUACCGCAUAAUAUGCCGAAGUCGCAUGACUUUGGUAUUAAAGCAGCAAUGCACUUAGAGAUGAGUGUGCGUCCCAUUAGGUAGUUGGUGAGGUAACGGCUCACCAAGCCUAUGAUGGGUAGCCGGUCUGAGAGGAUGGUCGGCCACACGGGCACUGAGACACGGGCCCGACUCCUACGGGAGGCAGCAGUAAGGAAUAUUGGUCAAUGGUGGAAACACUGAACCAGCCAUGCCGCGUGGAGGAAUAAGGUCCUACGGAUUGUAAACUCCUUUUGACGAGGAAGAAAAUGUUAGAUUUAUCUAAUUUUGACGGUACUCGUAGAAUAAGCACCGGCUAACUCCGUG